UACAGAGGUCCCAAGCGUUGUUCGGAUUCACUGGGCGUAAAGGGUGCGUAGGUGGUGAGGUAAGUCGGAUGUGAAAUCUCCGGGCUCAACCCGGAAAUGGCAUUGGAAACUACCUUGCUUGAGGAUUUGAGGGGGGAUUGGAAUACUUGGUGUAGCAGUGAAAUGCGUAGAUAUCAAGUGGAACACCAGUGGCGAAGGCGAAAUCCCUGGAAAAUACCUGACACUGAGGCACGAAAGCUAGGGGAGCAAACAGG
rnacentral:rRNA from 1 species